rnacentral:rRNA from 1 species
CCUACGGGAGGCUGCAGUGAGGAAUAUUGGUCAAUGGGCGGAAGCCUGAACCAGCCAAGUAGCGUGCAGGAUGACGGCCCUACGGGUUGUAAACUGCUUUUAUACGGGAAUAACGCGCCUUACGUGUAGGGCUUUGCAUGUACCGUAUGAAUAAGGACCGGCUAAUUCCGUGCCAGCAGCCGCGGUAAUACGGGAGGUCCGGGCGUUAGCCGGAUGUAUUGGGGUUAAAGGGAGCGUAGGCGGCAUGUCAAGCGUGCUGUGAAAUGUCCGGGCUCAACCCGGGCCUUGCAGCGCGAACUGGCGUGCUUGAGUCCGCGGAAAGCAGGCGGAAUUCGUCGUGUAGCGGUGAAAUGCUUAGAUAUGACGAAGAACCCCGAUUGCGAAGGCAGCUUGCUGCAGCGGAACUGACGCUGAUGCUCGAAAGUGUGGGUAUCAAACAGGAUUAGAUACCCGGGUAGUC